rnacentral:rRNA from 1 species
GACGAACGCUGGCGGCGUGCCUAACACAUGCAAGUCGAGCGAGGAGAGUUCCUUCGGGAACAAACCUAGCGGCGGACGGGUGAGUAACACGUGGGCAACCUGCCUUGUAGAGGGGAAUAGCCUUCCGAAAGGAAGAUUAAUACCGCAUAACAUUACAGUUUCGCAUGAAACAGUAAUUAAAGGAGCAAUCCGCUACAAGAUAGGCCCGCGGCGCAUUAGCUAGUUGGUGAGGUAACGGCUCACCAAGGCGACGAUGCGUAGCCGACCUGAGAGGGUGAUCGGCCACAUUGGGACUGAGACACGGCCCAGACUCCUACAGGAGGCAGCAGUGGGGAAUAUUGCACAAUGGGGGAAACCCUGAUGCAGCAACGCCGCGUGAGUGAUGAAGGUUUUCGGAUCGUAAAGCUCUGUCUUCGGGGACGAUAAUGACGGUACCCGAGGAGGAAGCACCGGCUAACUCCGUG